rnacentral:rRNA from 1 species
AGAGUUUGAUCUGGCUCAGGACGAACGCUGGCGGCGUGCUUAAUACAUGCAAGUCGAGCGGACCUUUGCCGUUUGUUGCCGGUUUCCGGCGACAAAUGGCAACGGUUAGCGGCGAACGGGUGAGUAACGCGUGGGUAAUCUGCCCCCAAGACCGGGAUAACAGAGCGAAAGCGCUGCUAAUACCGGAUGACCUCUCUUUAUCGCAUGGUGAAGGGAGCAAAGCUACGGCGCUUGGGGAUGAGCCCGCGUUCCAUUAGCUAGUUGGUGAGGUAACAGCUCACCAAGGCGACGAUGGAUAGCCGGCCUGAGAGGGUGACCGGCCACACUGGGACUGAGACACGGCCCAGACUCCUACGGGAGGCAGCAGUAGGGAAUUUUCGGCAAUGGGGGAAACCCUGACCGAGCAGCGCCGCGUGAGGGAUGAAGGCCUUCGGGUCGUAAACCUCUGUCUUCGGGGACGAUAAUGACGGUACCCGAGGAGGAAGCCCCGGCUAACUACGUGCCAGCAGCCGCGGUAAU